rnacentral:rRNA from 1 species
AUGCACAAGCCACCUAUAAAGAAUGUGUACACAAGGAGAGAUCGGAAGCAAAAAGAAUCGACAGAAGGUUCCACUUUGUUUGCUGAUAUCAGUUCUAACAGUGCCCAUGAAGGUAUACAGAAGCCACCUAUAAAAAUUGUAUUCGAGAGAAGAAGUGAUCCCAAGCAAAAAGGAUCCACAGGGGGGCAACUUGCUUCAAAGGAACUGAACAAAGGAAUGAACCCAGGGAGCAGCAGUCACGCCACAAGGAUUGCAACCUUAACAUGCAAUAUUUUGGACUCAAAAAAUUUAUUAGAGAAGCAACACGAGAAAGAAAUGAAAAUGGCAGAAACAGCAGCGAAGACUCUGGGAGCUGAAGGAGCGCAAUGUAUCAAGGGAAGUUCAGCGUGCAUGAUUAGAGUAACUCAAACAAAAGGUGUUGACAUGGCUACAACGACACUAGAAGGAGCUCGGUUUGAUGGAAAGCAGCCUGUGUCUAAGAUGACUACGCGGCUAACUCAAUUUUACGAGGAGUUCAACACAUAUAAUGAAAUCUAUGACAGUUUCGUUGAGAUGGGUCUUCGAGAAAAUCUGCUGAAAGGAAUAUAUGCAUAUGGUCUGGCGAUGCCUUCUGCAAUCCAUCAACGGAGAAUUGUCCCAUUGUGCAAGGGUCUGGAUGUUAUCCAGCAGUCAUUGUCUGGAACAACUGUGACACUUGCCUGUGGAGUUCUCCAGCGACUCGAUUAUGGAUCCACGGAAUGCCAAGCUUUGGUUCUUGUACCAACGCGUGACUUGGCACAGGACACCGUGAAAGUUAUUGGAGCACUUGGUCAGUGGCUAGGUGUCAAAGCUCAUGCUUGUCUUGGAGGAACUAGUAUUCGUGAGGACAAGCAAAUUUCGUCAAGCAGCAAUCAGGUUAUUGUCGCCACUCCUGGCCGCACUCUUGACAUGCUAAGAAGACGAGCGCUUUGUCCAGAUAACAUCAGAAUGUUUGUCUUGGAUGAAGCUGAUGAAAUACUCGCAGGAGGUUUAAAGAACCAGAUCUAUGAUAUUAUCCAGCUUCUCCCAGCCAAAAUCCAGUUUGCUGUAUUCUCUACCACCAUGUCCAAUGAAGCUCUUGAACUUUGCCGGAAGUGCAUGAAUAAGCCUAUGAAGGUCAUAGUGCCAAAAGAUGAAGAACUUGAGGGUUUUAGUGUUAAGCAGUUCUAUGUUAAGGCUGAGAAUGAAGAAUCAAAGUUUCAAAAAUUAUGUGAUCUUUUUGACACCAUGGCCGUCACGCAAAACAUCAUCUUUGUCAACGCACGUCGGAAGGUCAAGCCACUGACUGAAAAGAUCAGAGGCAGGGGGUACACUGUCUCGGCAAGCCAUGGUGGUAUGGACCAGCACUCCAGAGAUGUUGCCGUCCAGGAUCUCCAGUCGGGAUCAUCCCGUGUCCUCGUCACCACCAACCUUCGUGGCGCUGACGCAUUGCAGGUCCCUGUUGUCAUCAACUAUGAUCUGCCAACACAACCAACACAAUACCUUCGUCAUGUUCGACGAAGUGGACAACCUGGAGGGAUUGGUGUCGCUAUCAGCUUUGUUGCUCGUGCUGAUGAGCGUGUCCUAUCUGGCAUCCAAAGAUUCUGCAAUACUCAGAUGGCGGAGUUACCCUCCAACGUCGCUGACCUCUUGUGA